GACUCGGUGGCGGAUGGUCCGCGUCCACAAUAACUGGUUUGUUCUGUACAUGGUUCAUGUGGAAGGGGCCUGUUCGAUUCAGGCCCGGGUCA